rnacentral:rRNA from 1 species
GACGAACGCUGGCGGCGCGCCUAACACAUGCAAGUCGAACGAACCAUAGAAAGCUUGCUUUCUCAGCUUAGUGGCGAACGGGUGAGUAACGCGUGAGGAACCUGCCCUAGAGAGGGGGACAACAGUUGGAAACGACUGCUAAUACCGCAUAAGCCCACGACGCCGCAUGACACUGAGGGAAAAGGAUUUAUUCGCUUUAGGAUGACCUCGCGUCCAAUUAGCUAGUUGGUGAGGUAACGGCCCACCAAGGCGACGAUCGGUAGCCGGACUGAGAGGUUGAACGGCCACAUUGGGACUGAGACACGGCCCAGACUCCUACGGGAGGCAGCAGUGGGGGAUAUUGCACAAUGGGGGAAACCCUGAUGCAGCGACGCCGCGUGGAGGAAGAAGGUUUUCGGAUUGUAAACUCCUGUCGUUAGGGACGAUAAUGACGGUACUUAACAAGAAAGCACCGGCUAACUACGUGCCAGCAGCCGCGGUAAAACGUAGGGUGCAAGCGUUGUCCGGAAUUACUGGGUGUAAAGGGAGCGCAGGCGGGAAGACAAGUUGGAAGUGAAAUCCAUGGGCUCAACCCAUGAAUUGCUUUCAAAACUGUUUUUCUUGAGUAGUGCAGAGGUAGAUGGAAUUCCCGGUGUAGCGGUGGAAUGCGUAGAUAUCGGGAGGAACACCAGUGGCGAAGGCGGUCUACUGGGCACCAACUGACGCUGAGGCUCGAAAGCAUGGGUAGCAAACAGGAUUAGAUACCCUGGUAGUCCACGCCGU